rnacentral:rRNA from 1 species
CCUACGGGGGGCUGCAGUGAGGAAUAUUGGUCAAUGGGCGGGAGCCUGAACCAGCCAAGCCGCGUGAAGGAAGAAGGUACUUAGUAUUGUAAACUUCUUUUGUCGGGGAACAAAGGCGGAGACGCGUCUCCGGAUGAGUGUACCCGAAGAAAAAGCAUCGGCUAACACCGUGCCAGCAGCCGCGGUAAUACGGAGGAUGCGAGCGUUAUCCGGAUUUAUUGGGUUUAAAGGGUGCGCAGGCGGGAGUUCAAGUCAGCGGUAAAAUGUCGGGGCUCAACCCCGGCCGGCCGUUGAAACUGGUUAUCUAGAGUUAGAGAGAGGUAUGCGGAAUUCGUGGUGUAGCGGUGAAAUGCGUAGAUAUCACGAAGAACACCAAUGGCGAAGGCAGCAUACCGGCUCCAUACUGACGCUGAGGCACGAAAGCGUGGGGAGCGAACAGGAUUAGAUACCCGUGUAGUC